UUUCAAUUAUCUAUUCAUAUUCCAGUUGGCUUUGUUAAUGAAAAAUAUGUUGUAAUUUUAAUGUUAAUAGUCCAUGGUGCUUAGAAAUUUAGCAGUCAUUAUAUGAUUUAAAUUGAAUUUACAGUUGUGUCAUAGGCAAAUCUACUCUAUCAUAGGCAAAUCUACUCUACUGACUACUCAGAAAGUUAUCCUAAUUUUAAGAAAAUGUUCCUAACGCAUAAAAUAAAUUAAUAUUCCUUCAUGUGAAUUGAAGUCUUCAAUCUUCUGUUAUCUUACAACUAAUAUGUAUGUAAAGGAGAAAGAAAGAGAAAACAGAUAUUAUUUUUCUUAUUGUACCAUGAUAUGUUUGAGAAUAGCUGAAACUAUAAAUUAAAAUAUUGAAAAUAUAUUCCUAGAUAAACAGGAAAAAAGAGGUGUGUGUGAGUGAUAAGGAAAAAAGAAAUAUGACUGAGAUACAAACGAAAUUAUCAAAACAGCAGGACAAUAAUAUUAGGAUUUUACCUACUGCUAUCAGAAGAUACCCACAUUUAUUCUUGAACACCUCAAAAACGGGUGGUAUGCAAGUAUAAAUCCCUUGCAGUUUUCCCGCUGGCCUCACGGUGUUGCUGUUAGCCAACUAGGACGCCGAGAGAAUGGAGAAGAGCUGUUUGUUAUACAGACGCAAAGGAGGAUUUCGGCAUUUCGUUAAAGGCAGGGAAAACAGCUGAUCACAAAUGCAAAGCAGUCUUGCGAAACGGGAAGUUCCCAGACAUUAAGAAGAAACGAGAGUGUUUCUUACUGGUCUGCGUUCUGAUGAGAUUUUGAGGCAGUCACUUUAUCGCAGAGGAGAUGGAGCGAGGGCAAGGAGGGAAUGGCAGAGCAAUCCGAAGGCAAGUACUAUCGCUCUUAGUCUUGUCGGUUUCCUACCGGGCCGUCUCCGAACAGAUUCAUUAUGCCAUCCCCGAGGAGAUGUCAAAAGGUUCUAUAGUGGGGAAUCUUGCAAAGGAUCUAGGACUGAGUCUCAGAGAACUGGCAAUGCGCAAAAUGCACGCCAUCUCUGUGGACAAGGUGCAGUAUUUCACCAUCAGUGCAGGAAAUGGAAACCUCUGUGUGAAUGAGAGGAUAGAUAGGGAAGAAAUAUGUGGCCGAAUUCCACUGUGUGUUCUUAAUCUUAAAGUGGUUUUUGAAAAUCCGUUAAAUAUUUACCAUCUAAAAAUAGAGAUACAAGACAUUAAUGAUAAUUCUCCACAGUUUCUCAGUAGCAUAAUCCAGUUGGAGAUAAUUGAAACAACACAAAUAGGCACCAGAUUCCUUCUUGGGAAUGCCAAAGAUCCAGACAUUGGCACAAACGCUUUACAGAAUUAUCAUCUUAGCACCAAUCCUUACUUUACUUUGGAUGUGAAAGAGAGUCAAGAUGGAAAUAAAUUUGCAGAUUUAGUACUCCAGAAAUCACUUGAUCGCGAGAGUGAACCAACGGUACAGCUAACACUUACUGCCCUAGAUGGCGGAAAACCCAGAAAAACUGGAACAGCCCAAAUAUGGAUCAAUGUCACCGAUGCCAAUGAUAAUCCGCCUAUAUUCACCCAAGACGUCUACACAGUCAGUCUGAGGGAAAACCUACCAGUUGGGUUCCUGGUGCUGCAACUUGUAGCUUCAGAUAAAGAUGAAGGCUCAAAUGCACAAAUCAGAUAUUAUUUCAGCAAUAUACCGCUGAGUGGCAAUAAGAAGUUCAGCCUAGAUUCAACCAGUGGAAUGAUUUCUCUUGUGGAACCAUUGGACUUUGAGGAAAGCUCAGAAUAUGUGAUGACUGUAGCAGCAAAAGAUGGAGGUGGAUCAAUGACCCAUUGUAAAGUAGAAGUAAAAAUCCUUGAUGAGAAUGAUAAUGUGCCAGAAAUUAUAACUGCAUCUGUUUUUAGUCCCAUUCUGGAAGAUUCUCAGACUGGAACAGUUAUUGCUCUCAUCAAUGUUCAUGACAGAGAUACUGGUAAUAAUGGAAAGAUCGUUUGUUAUUUAGAAAAUGACUUGCCAUUCAAGAUUCUUCCAUCAUCUGACAACUACUACACUCUCUUGACAGAUAAAACUUUAGACAGGGAAAAAGCAUCUCAGUAUAAUAUUACAAUCACAGCCACUGACAAAGGAACUCCUCCAUUAACCACCCACAAAACCAUCUUGCUGCAGAUCUCUGAUAUCAAUGACAAUGCUCCUGCUUUUGAAAAAACUUCCUACAGCAUCUAUGUGCCAGAGAAUAAUCCUUCUGGCGCCUCCAUCUUCCAGAUUCAAGCCUUUGAUCUGGAUAUAGAUCAAAACUCACAGAUCACAUAUUCAAUCCUCACCAGCAACAUUGAAGAAUUUCCCAUCUCCUCCUAUAUCUCCAUUCACUCUGAGACCGGCAUCAUCUAUGCCCAGCGAUCCUUUGACUAUGAGCAGUUCAGGGAAUUCCAGCUGCAGGUGAAGGCCCAAGAUGGUGGGAGUCCCCCUCUUAGCAGCAACGUCACAGUCAGGGUGUUUAUCCUGGAUCGGAAUGACAACAGCCCCCAAAUCCUGUCCCCUUCAACAGAUUCCAAGGACCCUGCCCUCUUUGAGAUGGUCCCUCGUUCAGCUGUGGCAGAUUAUCUGGUAACAAAGGUGGUGGCUGUGGAUGCUGAUUCUGGACACAACGCCUGGCUCUCCUACCAGCUGAUUCAAGCCACAGAACCAGCCCUCUUCACUGUUGGCUCCCAUACAGGUGAGAUCAGAACAGCAAGAACUUUUCUGGAGAGAGAUGCUGUGAAACAGAGACUGGUCCUUCUGGUGAAGGAUAAUGGACAACCGACUCUCUCGGCCUCUGUCACUCUGAACCUGGUGUUUGCUGAGAACUUCCAGGAGGCCCUUCCAGAGAUGAAAAACCAGUUGAAGAGUUCAGAGGAUCAGUCUGACCUGCAGUUCUAUUUGGUGGUGGCUUUAGCUGUGAUGUCAUUUUUAUUCCUCUUGUCAGUCAUUCUGGCCGUUGCCAUCAAACUCAGGCAGUCAGGAAAUUCCAGUUUCUUACCAUGUUUUGCUCCUGUUUCCCAUUCCACAGCUGGGGUCAUAUUUCCACCCAAUUUUCAAGAUGGGACCCUGCCUUAUUCCUACCAGCUCUGCCUCUCCUCAGAAUCCAGAAAGAAUGAAUUUACCUUCCUGGCACCAAAUAUUCAUAUUGCAGAGAAUGUGCUUUGUGGUGAAAAAACUGAUGUGCCUCUUUCAAGCAACGGAGGAAGCAAUUUCCAUCCUGAGGUGGAAAAUAAUGGGAAGAAUUUUCUUCCCUCCUGAUGAAAAUUUGAUCUGAUCUGAAAGGAAGCAAACAAGAUAGUGGGGAGAGGUCAAGAUGGAAAGAAAGCAAAAAAAGAAUGAAGGAGCACAUAGAAGUGAUUCUGGCUCUUAAAGUGAAACUCCGGCAGUCAGGGAAUCCUGGAUUCUUACAAUGUUUUGGUCCAGGCCCACAUACCAAGACUGGUGCAAUAUUUCCUUCAAAUUUUGAAGAAGGGACAUUGCCUUAUU